UCACUACUGAAGAGUCCCAAACUAGGACGAAACGGCCGUCCAAUGC
rnacentral:hammerhead_ribozyme from 1 species